ACUAACUGGAGGACCGAACCCACUGUCGUUGAAAAGCCAGGGGAUGACUUGUGGAUAGGGGUGAAAGGCUAAUCAAGCCUGGUGAUAGCUGGUUCUCCCCGAAAGCUAUUUAGGUAGCGCCUCGGACGAAUACCAUAGGGGGUAGAGCACUGUUUCGGCUAGGGGGUCAUCCCGACUUACCAAACCGAUGCAAACUCCGAAUACCUAUGAGUACUAUCCGGGAGACAGACUGCGGGUGCUAACGUCCGUAGUCAAGAGGAAAACAAUCCAGACCGCCAGCUAAGGCCCCAAAAUCAUAGUUAAGUGGGAAACGAUGUGGGAAGGCAUAGACAGCUAGGAGGUUGGCUUAGAAGCAGCCACCCUUUAAAGAAAGCGUAAUAGCUCACUAGUCGAGUCGGCCUGCGCGGAAGAUGUAACGGGGCUAAAACUAUGUGCCGAAGCUGCGGAUUUGACAUUAGUCAAGUGGUAGGGGAGCGUUCUGUAAGCCGAUGAAGGUGUGUUGAGAAGCAUGCUGGAGGUAUCAGAAGUGCGAAUGCUGACGUGAGUAACGACAAAACGGGUGAAAAACCCGUUCGCCGAAAGACCAAGGGUUCCAGUCCAACGUUAAUCGGGGCUGGGUGAGUCGACCCCUAAGGCGAGGCCGAAAGGCGUAGUCGAUGGGAAAAUGGUUAAUAUUCCAUUACUUCUGUGUAAUGCGAUGAGAGGACGGAGAAGGCUAAAUCAGCCUGGCGUUGGUUGUCCAGGUGAAAGGAUGUAGGCAUGUAUCUUAGGCAAAUCCGGGGUACUCUAUGCUGAGAUCUGAUAGCAAGCUGUACUUGUACAGCGAAGUGGUUGAUGCCAUGCUUCCAGGAAAAGUCUCUAAGCUUCAGUUACACAGGAAUCGUACCCGAAACCGACACAGGUGGUCAGGUCGAGUAGACCAAGGCGCUUGAGAGAACUCUGCUGAAGGAACUAGGCAAAAUGGUACCGUAACUUCGGGAGAAGGUACGCUGUUGUUGGUGAUGGAACUCGCUUCCUGAGCUGACGACAGCCGCAGAAACCAGGCCGCUGCAACUGUUUAUUAAAAACAUAGCACUCUGCAAACACGAAAGUGGACGUAUAGGGUGUGAUGCCUGCCCGGUGCUGGAAGGUUAAUUGAUGGGGUUAGCGUAAGCGAAGCUCUUGAUCGAAGCCCCAGUAAACGGCGGCCGUAACUAUAACGGUCCUAAGGUAGCGAAAUUCCUUGUCGGGUAAGUUCCGACCUGCACGAAUGGCAUAAUGAUGGCGGCGCUGUCUCCAGCAGAGGCUCAGUGAAAUCGAAAUCGCUGUGAAGAUGCAGUGUACCCGCGGCUAGACGGAAAGACCCCGUGAACCUUUACUGCAGCUUGACACUGAACUUUGACCUUACUUGUGUAGGAUAGGUGGGAGGCUUUGAAGCUGGAACGCUAGUUCCAGUGGAGCCGUCCUUGAAAUACCACCCUGGUAAUGUUGAGGUUCUAACUCUGUCCCGUGAUCCGGGACGAGGACCGUGUCUGGUGGGUAGUUUGACUGGGGCGGUCUCCUCCUAAAGAGUAACGGAGGAGUACGAAGGUGCGCUCAGCGUGGUCGGAAAUCACGCGUAGAGUAUAAAGGCAAAAGCGCGCUUAACUGCGAGACCCACAAGUCGAGCAGGUACGAAAGUAGGUCUUAGUGAUCCGGUGGUUCUGUAUGGAAGGGCCAUCGCUCAACGGAUAAAAGGUACUCUGGGGAUAACAGGCUGAUACCGCCCAAGAGUUCAUAUCGACGGCGGUGUUUGGCACCUCGAUGUCGGCUCAUCACAUCCUGGGGCUGAAGUAGGUCCCAAGGGUAUGGCUGUUCGCCAUUUAAAGAGGUACGCGAGCUGGGUUUAGAACGUCGUGAGACAGUUCGGUCCCUAUCUACCGUGGGCGCUGGAAAUUUGAGAGGAUCUGCUCCUAGUACGAGAGGACCAGAGUGGACGAACCUCUGGUGUACCGGUUGUGACGCCAGUCGCAUCGCCGGGUAGCUAUGUUCGGAAGGGAUAACCGCUGAAAGCAUCUAAGCGGGAAGCCUACCUCAAGAUAAGAUUUCCCUAGGACUUUAUGUCCUCUAAAGAGCCGUUCGAGACUAGGACGUUGAUAGGUUGGAUGUGGAAGCAUAGUGAUAUGUGAAGCUGACCAAUACUAAUUGCUCGUGAGGCUUGACUAU
rnacentral:rRNA from 1 species